AUGGCCAACAAGGUACCUGCGUGUGGCCUGAGCCGGGAGGUGCAGCAGAAAAUUGAGAAUCCAUAUGACGCAGACCUGGAGCAGAUCAAUGGAUCACCACCCAGUGCCAAAAGGAUGUGGGCUGGCCCCAGCUUGGACAUGAGAACUUCCAGAAUUUCCUCAAGGAGGGCACAGAGCUAUGUGAGCUCAUUAACGCACUGUGCCCCGAGGGGCAGGCCCCAGUAAAGAAGACCCAGGUCUCCACCAUGGCCUUAAAGCAGAUGGAGCAGAUAUCUCAAUGCCUGCAAGCAGCUGAGUGCGCUAUGGCAUUAACACCACAGACAUCCUCCAAACUGUGCAUCCCUGGGGAGGAAAGAACGUGGCCUGUGUGCAGUGGAUCCUGAUGAACCUGGGUGGGCUGGCAGUAGCCCAGGACGAUGGGCUCUUCUCUGGGGCUCCCAUAUGGUUCCCUAAGAAACCCAAGGAGAAUCCUUGGAACUUCUCAACCAGCUACAAGAGGGCAGGAACAUGAUUGAGGUACAGAUGGGCAGCAACUGCGGGGUGUCUCAGGUUGGCAUGACCGGCUAUGGGAUGUCACGCUAGAUCCUCUGA
rnacentral:lncRNA from 1 species